rnacentral:rRNA from 1 species
GCCGGGAUGUUCAUUAACCCUUUGUUGUCCGAACUUCUGUUGCCUCCGGGGCGACCCUGCCUUCGGGCGGGGGCUCCGGGUGGACACUUCAAACUCUUGCGUAACUUUGCAGUCUGAGUAAACUUAAUUAAUAAAUUAAAACUUUUAACAACGGAUCUCUUGGUUCUGGCAUCGAUGAAGAACGCAGCGAAAUGCGAUAAGUAAUGUGAAUUGCAGAAUUCAGUGAAUCAUCGAAUCUUUGAACGCACAUUGCGCCCCCUGGUAUUCCGGGGGGCAUGCCUGUUCGAGCGUCAUUUCACCACUCAAGCCUCGCUUGGUAUUGGGCAACGCGGUCCGCCGCGUGCCUCAAAUCGUCCGGCUGGGUCUUCUGUCCCCUAAGCGUUGUGGAAACUAUUCGCUAAAGGGUGUUCGGGAGGCUACGCCGUAAAACAACCCCAUUUCUAAGGUUGACCUCGGAUCAGGUAGGGAUACCCGCUGAACUUAAGCAUA